AUUGAACGCUGGCGGCAGGCCUAACACAUGCAAGUCGAGCGAGCGGCGGCCGGGUGAGUAAUGUAUGGGGACUGCCCGAUAGAGGGGGAUAACUACUGGAAACGGUGGCUAAUCCCGCAUACUAUCGGAUAACCCAUAUGGGAUUAGCUCGUAGGUGGGGUAAAGGGUCACCUAGGCGACGAUCGCGAGCUGGUCUAUGAGGAUGAGCAGCCACACUGGGACUGAGACACGUCCCAGACUCCUACGGAGGCAGCAGUGGGGAAUAUUGGACAAUGGGCGCAAUCCUGAUGCAGCCAUGCCGAGGGUAUGAAGAAGGCCUUAGGGUUGUAAAGGACUGUCAGCGGGGAGGCGUUACCCGCAGAAGAAGCACCUGCUAACUCCGUGCCAGCAGCCGCGGUAAUUC
rnacentral:rRNA from 1 species